rnacentral:lncRNA from 1 species
UGAUAUAUAUUCUAAAAUUUCUUCUUGUUAAGAGCAAAAAAGAAUGGUGCCUAGUUCAUGUCGCAGAUUGUGUGGGGAAUUUGGGGAGACUAUUUUGCAUUCUUUCUUUGUAUGUGCAAAUGCCGAGUAGGUGUGGGAAAUUUCUCCAAUUAGUUUCGCAUGGCUGUCUUGUAUGCUUAUGGGAUCGAUGUGUGGAAACUUUUCCAACCUAUGCAUACGUUCAUUUUGCUUCUUAGAGUCCUUAAAACCCCUAGUAUAUAUUCACACACCAAGAAAGAUAGGGAUAGAGGGUAGAACAAAACUAGAGCCCGAAUCUCAGGGGGAUUAACUCCGUUAGACGUGUUCUAGGGGUUGCCUCUCUUGUCCAGUGAAUCUUUGCCCCAUACACGCAGUAGCGGCUCGACCUCUAGGCGACUUAGGCAGUUGCCUAGGGCUCCACUGUACAUGAAGGCCUCACGAGAUGAUUAUUUUGUAUAUAAAAUAGGAAAGUGAAUUUAAAAGUCAUGAUUAUUCAUUUAAUUUAUUAUUAUUUUGUAAUUAUCUU